rnacentral:rRNA from 1 species
AUUGAACGCUGGCGGCAGGCCUAACACAUGCAAGUCGAGCGGUAGCACAGAGAGCUUGCUCUCGGGUGACGAGCGGCGGACGGGUGAGUAAUGUCUGGGAAACUGCCUGAUGGAGGGGGAUAACUACUGGAAACAGUAGCUAAUACCGCAUAAUGUCGCAAGACCAAAGGGGGGGACCUUCGGGCCUCAUGCCAUCAGAUGUGCCCAGAUGGGAUUAGCUAGUAGGUGGGGUAACGGCUCACCUAGGCGACGAUCCCUAGCUGGUCUGAGAGGAUGACCAGCCACACUGGAACUGAGACACGGUCCAGACUCCUACGGGAGGCAGCAGUGGGGAAUAUUGCACAAUGGGCGCAAGCCUGAUGCAGCCAUGCCGCGUGUGUGAAGAAGGCCUUCGGGUUGUAAAGCACUUUCAGCGGGGAGGAAGGCGUUAAGGUUAAUAACCUUGGCGAUUGACGUUACCCGCAGAAGAAGCACCGGCUAACUCCGUGCCAGCAGCCGCGGUAA